CCGCGGUAAUACGAAGGGUCCGAGCGUUAUCCGGAAUCAUUGGGUUUAAAGGGUCCGCAGGCGGCCAGAUAAGUCAGUGGUGAAAUUCCGUGGCUCAACCACGGAACUGCCAUUGAUACUGUUUGGCUUGAAUCAGUUCGAGGAUGCCGGAAUGUGUGGUGUAGCGGUGAAAUGCAUAGAUAUCACACAGAACACCAAUUGCGAAGGCAGGUGUCCAGAACUGUAUUGACGCUGAUGGACGAAAGCGUGGGUAGCGAACAGGAUUAGAUACCCUGGUAGUCCACGCCGUAAACGAUGGUCACUAGCUGUCCGGACUUAGGUCUGGGUGGCCAAGCGAAAGUGAUAAGUGACCCACCUGGGGAGUACGUUCGCAAGAAUGAAACUCAAAGGAAUUGACGGGGGCCCGCACAAGCGGUGGAGCAUGUGGUUUAAUUCGAUGAUACGCGAGGAACCUUACCAGGGCUUAAAUGCAUUAUGACAGGGGUGGAGACACCCUUUUCUUCGGACAUUUUGCAAGGUGCUGCAUGGUUGUCGUCAGCUCGUGCCGUGAGGUGUCAGGUUAAGUCCUAUAACGAGCGCAACCCCUGUUGUUAGUUGCCAGCGAGUAAUGUCGGGAACUCUAGCAAGACUGCCGGUGCAAACCGCGAGGAAGGUGGGGAUGACGUCAAAUCAUCACGGCCCUUACGCCCUGGGCCACACACGUGCUACAAUGGCAGGUACAGCAAGCAGCCACUGGGCGACCAGGAGCGAAUCUGUAAAGCCUGUCACAGUUCGGAUCGGAGUCUGCAACUCGACUUCGUGAAGCUGGAAUCGCUAGUAAUCGCAUAUCAGCCAUGAUGCGGUGAAUACGUUCCCGGGCCUUGUACACACCGCCCGUCAAGCCAUGGAAGCUGGGAGUGCCUGAAGUCCGUCGCCGCAAGGAGCGGCCUAGGGUAAGACCGGUAACUGGGGCUAAGUCGUAACAAGGUAGCC
rnacentral:rRNA from 1 species